UUCCGCGACAGAAUGGCCCUGGAUGGGUGGAGUCUCAGGCAUCCCCGCCCCCCGCAGGUCCCGCCCACGGCCCCGCCCCGGCGUGGAGUCCGCGUCUCGAGUCCGGCGCGGGGCUGGAGGAUCCUCCCAAACAUGGUAGCGCCGGGAUUUAUAGUUGGGCUGGUGCUGCCUUUAAUCCUGCCGGCCGACACGAGUGCAGGCUGGACCCUGAGUCACAACCGUGGAGAACCAGAAGACGGAAUCUGCGUGCUAACGCAAAAUGUCCGUUUUCGCUUUGCUUCAUACAUCAAUAAUUACAUGGUGCUGCAGAAGGAGCCCGCAGGGGCAGUGAUCUGGGGCUAUGGCAUAUUCGGAGCCACAGUGACAGUGACUUUGUGCCAAGAUAAAGAAACCAUCAUGGAGAAGGUGACGAGUGUGAAAGCACAUUCUAACAGCUGGAUGGUGGUACUGGAUCCUACGAAGCCUGGUGGACCUUAUGAGGUGAUGGCACAACAGACUUUUGGGAGAACAAACUUCACCCUGAGAGUUCAUGAUGUCUUAUUUGGAGAUGUCUGGCUUUGCAGUGGGCAGAGUAACAUGCAGAUGACGGUUUCACAGAUAUUCAAUGCGACAAGAGAGCUGUCUAACACUGCGGCCUAUCAGUCUGUCCGCAUCUUCUCUGUGUCGCUCACUGAGGCAGAGCAGGAACUGGAGGACCUGGCCAAGGUUGACUUGCAGUGGUCUAAACCCACCUCAGAAAACUUAGGCCAUGGAGUUUUCAAGUACAUGUCAGCAGUGUGCUGGCUCUUUGGGCGUAACCUGUAUGACACAUUGCAUUAUCCCAUUGGGCUGAUCUCCUCCUCGUGGGGUGGGACACCCAUUGAAGCCUGGUCUUCUGGAAGGUCACUGAAAACCUGUGGUGUUCCUACACGAGGGUUCACUCAGUCUGAUUCUGUAACCGGUCCCAGUAAGAACUCUGUUCUCUGGAAUGCCAUGAUCCAUCCACUACAUAAUAUGACUCUGAAAGGGAUGAUAUGGUACCAGGGGGAGUCCAAUAUAAAUGUUAACAGGGACCUGUACAAUUGCACAUUCCCUGCGCUCAUUGAAGACUGGCGUCAAGCCUUCCACCGUGGCUCCCAGGGGCAGACAGAGCGUUUCUUCCCAUUUGGAUUUGUCCAGUUAUCUUCAUAUUUGUCUGCAACCUCAGAUGAUAAAUUUCCCCAGAUCCGUUGGCAUCAAACAGCAGACUUUGGCUAUGUCCCCAACGUGAGGAUGCCCAACACUUUCAUGGCAGUAGCAAUGGAUCUCUGUGAUAGGACGUCCCCUUAUGGCAGCAUCCACCCUCGAGAUAAACAGACUGUGGCCUACAGGCUGCACCUGGGGGCCCGGGCUGUGGCCUAUGGUGAGAAACUGAUCUUUCAAGGACCACUGCCUGAGAAGAUGGAACUCCUGGCUGACAGGGGGCUGCUAAACCUCACAUAUUCACAGCAAAUCCAGGUGAAGAAGCAGGACAAAAUAUUUGAGAUCUCAUGUUGCAGUGACCGUCAGUGCAAGUGGCUCCCAGCUCCCAUGGGCACUUUCUCAGCCCAGACCCUGGCCCUGAAUGUCAGUUCUUGUCGCGGCACUCCGGCUGCUGUUCGCUAUGCCUGGACCACGUGGCCUUGUGAAUAUAAGCGGUGCCCCCUGUACCACCCCAGCAGCACCCUGCCGGCUCCUCCCUUCAUCGCUUUCAUGACAGACCAGAUCCCUGGAGAUCUCAGCAAGCUUGCUAAAUGAUUUAGCGGCAUUGCGAUCAUUACCUUGGACAUAAGUGUGCGUCCUUUCGAUGUGGGCAUUUAGCUGUUGAAGUGAUGACAGCUAUAGCUUUUAAAGGCAACUAAUAGAAAAGCCGCACUGGACAGCUCUCAGCUAGCACUUGGCUGUGUCCGUGUUCUGAAUAGGCGAUGAGCAGCGCUGGCAGGCUAAUGAGAUGCUUGCCUCUUGUCCCCUAGUCAGCCUAGGUGUCUUGCCAGACUAAUUCCCAACUACAAAUGGAACUUCAGUGUCCUUCACUUCCCUGUGGAGAGUGCAGUGUCUAACACUUUUGUCUACUUAUAUCCAGAACCGUGGAAACUCGUGGCUGGAAAGGGUUUGAGGGCCAUGUGGGCCAGCUCCUAUUUAUGUCUUCUUUACAAAAUCUGGAGUGCACAUAUGUCCAGCCAACGUGUGCAGUGAAGAAAGAAAAACAUUAAAGCAUGAACAGCUUUGAGUAAUCCCCCUUUUAUCCCAGGUUUGGUGUUAUCCUAAUUUUAUUUUUUUGUACUGUAAAAGCUGCACAAACUUAUAGAGACCAGAGUUAAGAGCCAUACAAUUACUAGCAGUUAACUUUCGUUUCUGAUACUUCUGCUGCCCAUCUGUUCCUAGGAAACAAACCCCUUCGUGUUGUCCCUGGUCAGCAGCUACGAACUGCAGCACAGUGACAACUGACACUCCUUCCUCGUUCUCCUUCUGGGGUCCUUCUGUUGCUUCCUUCCAGCUGUCCCGGUCCCUGGUUGGACGGACAGCAGGGCCUCCCAUGCGGUACUGCUGGGGUCCAGAUGGGGUGACGCGGUAAACCUGUACCUUAGUGGCACGGGCAGGGUCCAACACAUUCGGUUGCACAAAAUACAGAGUCAAGUUAUUAAAGAGCUAGUGAAGUGACUGGGUGAGCCUGUGAGGGAGGGUGGGAGCGCCCCUGCCCUCCCGGCAUGUUGUAUCUGUGCCAUCAUGUGGAUUCAACGUAUUCAGCUACAAGCACAUUCUCGGGUAAGGAACGGCAAAGAGCCGGUAGGAAGGAUUACAGAGGACUUUUGGUUUCCCUUGAAGGAUAUGAAGUGUGAAGAAAAAGAUGAACGGCGUGCCUUGGGCCAGCCUCUCUGGCUUGGGGAGAAGCAGACUGGACUGUGAUCGUCCAGACAUGGAAAUGAAGCAGCUGCUGGGGUAGCAGGGGCUGGGCCUUCAUUCCUGGAGCUAGGAUCAGAAUCCAGGUGGAAGGCUGGGACUCCUCCCACCUCUCCCUCCUGAGUCUGCAGCCUGUUUUCAUUCCGGCUUAUAGAACACUUAGGUUUGCUCUACCACUUCGGGCAGAGCUAAGCAAAAAAAAAAAAAAAAAAAAAAAAAAAA